GCUAUAUCACAUUGAAACACUGUUCCCCAUAUGAUUACUGAAGUUAAGCAUGAUCAGGCCUGGUCAGUACCUAGAUGAAUGACCGUUUGGGAAUACCAGAUGCUGUAA